rnacentral:rRNA from 1 species
GAUGAACGCUGGCGGCGUGGAUAAGGCAUGCAAGUCGAACGGUAACGGGCCUUCGGGUGCCGACGAGUGGCGAACGGGUGAGUAAUACAUCGGAACGUGCCCGAUCGUGGGGGAUAACGAGGCGAAAGCUUUGCUAAUACCGCAUACGAUCUACGGAUGAAAGCAGGGGACCGCAAGGCCUUGCGCGGACGGAGCGGCCGAUGGCAGAUUAGGGAGUUGGUGGGAUAAAAGCUUACCAAGCCGACGAUCUGUAGCUGGUCUGAGAGGAUGAUCAGCCACACUGGGACUGAGACACGGCCCAGACUCCUACGGGAGGCAGCAGUGGGGAAUUUUGGACAAUGGGCGCAAGCCUGAUCCAGCCAUGCCGCGUGCAGGAUGAAGGCCUUCGGGUUGUAAACUGCUUUUGUACGGAACGAAAAGCCUUCUUCUAAUACAGGAGGGUCAUGACGGUACCGUAAGAAUAAGCACCGGCUAACUACGUGCCAGCCGCCGCGGUAA